CCUCCGGCCACUGGGGGCGCUCCUGCCGCAGACCCCCGCGAGGCUUGCCGGGCGGGCGGCGGCGGCCGGGGGCCGCCGAGGGCUGUGGCGCCGGGGCGGGCUCUGAGGGGACCCUGGUGCUAGGGGCCGUCCGUCCUCCCAGCCUGGCAGCUGGGGGUUCGUGUCUGCGCGCGUCCGCGGCGCCUAGGUGGCCUUUGCUCCUCCAGCCCCCAUUGAAGGACGUUUGUCUGUUGCAGUAGUUCUCAAAGUGUGGGCCAGGGACACCCUGGAGCUUCCUGAGAUCCUGUGAGUUGCAACAAUCACUUGUACAGCAUGACUGACUUUCUCUCUGUGAGAUCUGCAACCAGCCACCAGUGGUGUGGAGGAGGAGGUGACAGAUCCAAGUGUCAACUGCUGCUGCUGCUGCUGCUGAUCAACUGCUGAGAUGAUGAUGGGAGUUUAAGUUCACUGUGAUUUCCACACCGAGAAUUUGAGGAAGACCAACAAGGAGCUCGGUGGGCUGGGGCUCAAGGAAGACACAGCUCUGGUACUGUGUCAUUUAAGCCUGGAACGAUCCAAAUGGGAUUUGAGUCUACAAACUGAAUCAUGGCAAGGAGUGUCAAGUCUGAGUGCAUUGUGUGACCCCCUCAGAAGAGGGGAGAAGAGAAGAGAGAAAUCCUGCAUGUGGAUUUCCCCAGACUUCACCUUUCUCCUUAUGGUCCACCUGUGUGUCCUUGCUACAUCACUACAAUAAGCCUUAGCUGUAUCUAGGUAUCACCUCAGCCUGACCAAGUGGACUCUCUGAAGAUGGGCCCAGGAGCCACAAUUCUAAUAGCUCCUCUCAGCUUUCAUCAUUUUUCACACCUUGGCUCCCACCCAUAGUGAAAAGACUAUCAAAGAAGAUGGGAAAUUCCACAGUGUACAGCUCUGCCAGGGGACUGUGGCCUCUACUGCAGCCCUCUUCACAGGACCCUGGCUUCAGCCUUUCCCACUCUGCAUCUCCAGCUGAUGCCCUCACAUCUGCUUUCACCUUGCUCAAAUUUGCAGGCUACCCACAGAAAAAAAGACUCUUUCACCACUCCAUAGUCAAUGCCACUGACACCGACACCGACUGUCGUCCUUGAAACAGUGUGGUUGGCCAGGCUGGGUUGCAACUGGGCUUCACUAACCAGCAACUUCUGAAGCUCAUUCUCCUUGGUGAGAGAGAGAGAGCACACACGUGCAUGCAGCGUACACACCUGUGAAUGGGGGAGGUGCAAAGAGAGGGAGAGCCUAAGCAGGCUCCGUGCCCAGUGUGGACUGUGGGACCAUGACCUGAGCUGAAAUAAACAGCUGGACACUCAACCGACUGAGCCACCCAGGCGCCCCAUACAGCUUCACCCAUUGUAACGAAAGUACCACAGCAUAUAAAAUAUUAAUAACAGAGGAAACUGUGUGUGUGUGGUGGGGGAGGGAAGGGUGAAAUAUGGGAACUCUGUACUUUCUGCCCAACUUUCUGUAAACAUAAAACUGCUCUAAUAAAUAAAAUCUAUUAAUUAAAACAGAACAGCAACAAAAA